CAGCAGCAGCAGCAGCAGCAACCAUACAUGGCGGGGCCGGGCGCUUACAGCCACAACCAGUCGAUGCCAGCCAUGCCGCCUACCAAUCUACCGCAGAACGGGUACCCGCAGCUGCACCAGCAGAUGGCCGGCAUGACAAUGGGACACCAGCAGAUGCCGCUGGGCGGCACGCCCACGUCCUACGCUCCGCUGGGCAGCGGCGCCCCGCUCAGCGGGCCGCUCUGGCAGUAACGAGCCGGGCCGCUAGGGUAUCAACUGGUGGCCCAGUCAGUGGGCGGCGGCCGCGGGCGGGUCGGGCCAGUACCGGGCCUGCCCGACAGCGCAUCAGUUAUUCCGCAAUUGUGGGUAGACGUGUCGGUGCCGGUGUCGUGGCGGGUUUUAUUCCGAGUGUCGGCGGCGGCGCCGCCGCGUGUCGCUCUCGCUGAGGGAGCGGGACGGUCGUAGCCGCGCCGGCACCGCUGCCAGUGUCCGGUCCUGUCUCCGGCGGCGCUCGGAAGUACAAUAUCGUCGCUGCGUCCGACCCGGGCGCGCGGGGCACGUGGUGCGCCGCCUCGCGCUCCGACGCGCCGUGAUUGUGGACCGCCGCGGCCGUCCGUGACAGCGACAGCGCGGCUGGGGCGUGACGUCACGGUCCGGCGCCCGACGCGGGCCGCGGGUGUUAACGUUCCGUCGGGGCGGCGCGGGUCAUAGUAUUUAUUCUUGAGCGCCGCUCCCCAGCUCGCGGUCGGGCCAGGUCGUGACCACCGGCGCCGACCGGCCAGCCACGCUGGGACCAGCUCUCUGCGACUUUCCAAUAAACCGAACCGGCGUACAACCCCAGGCGCCGCUGUGUUG